AUUGAACGCUGGCGGCAGGCCUAACACAUGCAAGUCGAGCGGAUGACGGGAGCUUGCUCCUUGAUUCAGCGGCGGACGGGUGAGUAAUGCCUAGGAAUCUGCCUGGUAGUGGGGGACAACGUUUCGAAAGGAACGCUAAUACCGCAUACGUCCUACGGGAGAAAGCAGGGGACCUUCGGGCCUUGCGCUAUCAGAUGAGCCUAGGUCGGAUUAGCUAGUAGGUGAGGUAAUGGCUCACCUAGGCGACGAUCCGUAACUGGUCUGAGAGGCUGGUCAGUCACACUGGAACUGAGACACGGUCCAGACUCCUACGGGAGGCAGCAGUGGGGAAUAUUGGACAAUGGGCGAAAGCCUGAUCCAGCCAUGCCGCGUGUGUGAAGAAGGUCUUCGGAUUGUAAAGCACUUUAAGUUGGGAGGAAGGGCAGUAAGCUAAUACCUUGCUGUUUUGACGUUACCGACAGAAUAAGCACCGGCUAACUCUGUGCCAGCAGCCGCAGUAAUAC
rnacentral:rRNA from 1 species